ensembl:lncRNA
AAAAAAAAAAGAAAAAACAGCAAACCAGGAUCAGACUAACGAGGGGGGUAAUUGAGUGGACAGAUGCUGUUUAAUGGUUCUCCACGCACACAUCUGCUCAGAUCAAACGCUCCUCUGGGCAACACUGCCCUCUCCUGGAUACACGCGCAGCCGCCCUGAGGAGCUGCUCCCGAUUCCUUGUGACUGAAUGAUUCUGUUGUAUCCCGUCGUUGCUCAUCCCGGCUCCCAAUGCCCCUUUCUUCAUUUCCCUGCGAUGGCAGGUGAUGACGGUCGUGUCUCCGAUUCUUCUUUUGGGCCUUGAUGAGCUCCGUGUCCAACCGUCGGCUGGGAGCAGCAGAACGACACAACAAAACAGCACAAACAGAGUAAACCAGCGCAAAGCGAACACGAUGCUGCCACGCCGUCACUGGAACCCGAGCUCACCUUCCAACAAUAAAACACACGAGCAGAGACCCGAGGAGAGGAGGCGGCGUGCACCCGGCCCACAUCAGCCCAACAUCAUUUCAAGGCCCGGACGAGAGGCGUGGAGCAGGUGUGACGGAGGCAAGACGUACUGAAGUCUGCUCCCGACUGACAGAAAACCCCCACCGGCUGCAGAAUGGGAUGGUUUGGGACAAGCCAGCGCCGUCCCUCCGGAGCGGAGCUUCCUCGGGCCGUGAACCGAGUGCCUGCUGCGGCCUCUCUUCCUGCGGGCACGUCGGAGCCCUGUUAGCCUCCCCGGUGCCACUGUUAACAUAACUAAGGAGCCUCCUCGCUGGCGUUUUCCUCAGCCGGGUCGACAACCCGCUGACUUCCCCUGCAACUCAGACUCCGUCUCUCUUCAGAAGCGCUGUUACAAGUAAAAGCUCCACAUUCAAAACGUUACCAAAGUGAAAGUACAAGAGUGUUAACAGUGAAAUAACGUAUACUCGUUGUGCAGAAUCUCAAGUAUGAUAUUUACUGGAGGUCAAUGGUUCUUUAAGAUGUUUAUCACAUAAUUGUUGAAGCCGGUGAAGGUGGAGCCAAUUUGGUACUUUUCAUACUAUUAUACUAUUUAUGUUCAUUACUACUUAUUAUGGUAUCAUUCCGUUUGUAUAGCUUUUAAUUUAUAUUUAUACCUACAGUAGAAACUAAUUGAAUAAAUGUAAUGAACUAGAAGCACGAAGUUGCAUGACAUGUAUAUAUUUAAGUGGAGGGCAAGUACCUCAAAAUUGUGCUUAAGUUCUUUGAUUGAGUAGCAGGAAAAACAUAAGAAAUUGAAUUAAAACUCCACAAUAUCACCAUUUUCCAUAAUAACGAAUAACUGGUAUCAGAUCAGACUGUCAGAAUGUAUGAUUAUAUUUUCAUAGAAUGUGUUUGAUUUUAUAUCCACUGUUUCUGAUGUACAAUGUGUGGUUGAUAUCCUAAACUACAUUGAGGUGAGUCUUUAUUUGCACAUCAUAUAAGCAUAAGAAUAGUUUUCUUCAUAUGGUUAAAUAAUGUGGGUAAAGCACAAUGAGCAAUGAGAUGGCUAAAGGAUUCAUUCGGGUGAGUUCGACAACAGUCCUGCACGACGUUGGCUAAAAAUACACGCAUAAAUCAUUUCACAUUUACAUUUUUCAUUUAGCUGACGCUUUUAUCCACAUCGACUCACAGAGCUUUUAUUUCAGUUUGUAUCAGAAGCUGAACCGACUUUCUGCUGUCCUGAUGAGCUCAUUCCACCAUUCAGGAUCAUGAACAAUCACUAAAGCUUCUCUAAAGCAAAAAGUUCAAACGCAAAGACAAACAGCAAUAAGAAAUGAGAUGGAUAAAACUCCAAUAAGACAAGAAAAACAAUUUAGUUCAAAUUUGAAAUAGUGCAUGCUUCAAUUUCAACUUAAAGCAGAUUUAGAAUUAAAUGGUGGUGACCGUCCUGAUGAUUGAGUGCUGAACUAUUCAAAAAUUAUACAUUAGAAUAUGUGUUUCUUAUUUUUGAACUUUGAUCGCUUAUUUACUCAUGAAUAUGUACAGAUUGACUAACACGUAUUAGAAAAACAAACUUUUCAGGAACUUCCCGAGUAUACUUUUUUCUUUUCCUUGGGAAUAAACAUGAAAAAGCCCAGAGGGAACAGCGUCGAGGAUACUUUUUAUAGGCACUGUACGUUACUUCUGUUCUUCCUAAAUGCUCAUUGUAAUUUCUCUGAUGUAUUCCCACUGCAUCUCAUUGCUGUGAUCAAUGACAACUUUAAAUAUAAUUUUAGAAUGAGACUCUAAAACACAACCUACCUACGGUAGAAUUAACUUUUCAAAGCUCUGAACACGCAACCAGCAAACACUUACACACAUACGUGUAAUCUAGGCCAAACUCCUCCUCAUUAUAACAACGGCUGAGCAUU